rnacentral:lncRNA from 1 species
CUCCUGCAUUUACUGUGAAUCUUCCCUAUGGUAUUGUCAAUUCCAUGAGGAAAGGAAUCUUGAUUUCUAUUUCUAAAUAUCUCCUCUUGUAUCUAGCACAGUAUCGUGAAUUUAGUAUUUGUUUGAUUAAAAAUUUGCAUACAAGCAUGCCCAUCCAUAUUCACAACUUCUGAGUCUACCAUCAUAAAAGUCUGUUCCAUCACAAUCACACUGACUAGGAUACUCAGAAGCCUAUCUAGGUAAAUAGGUAGUAAGUAGAGUGGAUAGUGAUGGACUUGAAGUCAAGAAUAUUUGAGUUUGAAUCCAGUCUCAGAUAUGUAUUAGCUGUGUAAUCCUGGAUAAAGCAUUUAUUCUCAGAAGGUCACAUGGAAUUCCUCCAGUUCAUUAUUCCUUCCGGCAUAAUAAUAUUUCAUCACCAUCAGUUUGUUCAGACAUUCCCCAAUCAAAGGGCAGCCCCUCAUUUUCCAAUAUUUUUGACACCACAAAGAGCAGAAGAGAAUAUCUUAAUUAAAAAGAGAGGUGGAAUUGACCAUCAAAAACCAUGAAUUGGAUAGAAUGAACAGGAAGAAGGUGAAGGAGAAUGAAAAGUCAGAAGAAUCACCCCAGGGACAGGCCAGUACAGGAGUUCAUGUCAGCAGCUACCCUAGCCAGCUCGAACCAGACCAGCACUGGAUCCACCUGACAGCCAAGACACCAUCCACUGAAAGCAAAGGAACAAUGCAUUCUUUGGCUCUGCCACCCCGGAAGUGAUCUUGGGGAUGGAAAUGUUUGUAGCAAGCUUCUUCAGUUUGAGUCCACUAUCCCGAGGGACUAAGGUGGUAGAGAGAAGAAUGUUCCCAGACUUGGGAGGAUAUUGGGGUAUUUUUGUUCUUGUUGCAUCGUGUCAGUAAAUAUCUCUUUGUAAAAACUACUUAAUGUUCAUUAGUUACUAGUGAUUCAUUAUCAAGAAGAUAGCAAAUGAUCAAGUAAUAUCAGGGUGUUGAGCACUGGCAAAAAAUAUCAGAAGAAUACAUUAGAUGGGGAGUUGAGCUGACUGCAUUAGAAAGAUACCCUAUGGGGUAGGUUGGUGGUUCAGUGAAUUAAGAGCCAGGCCUAGAGACCUGAGUCUUAGAUUCAAAUUUGGCCUCAGAAUCUUCCUAACUGUGUGACCUUGGGCAAGUCCUUUAAUCCCCAUUGUCUAGCCCUUACUGCUCUUCUGUCUUGGGACCAAUGCACAGAAUUGAUGUGUAAGUUUUUUUUUUAAUCCUUACUUUCUCUCUUAGAAUCAAUACUAAAUAUUAAAAUAAAAUACUAAAAUUAAAAUUAAAAAUACUAAAU